rnacentral:rRNA from 1 species
GGUUAAGUUAGAAAGGGCGCACGGUGGAUGCCUUGGCACUAGGAGCCGAAGAAGGACGGGACUAACACCGAUAUGCUUUGGGGAGCUGUACGUAAGCGUUGAUCCAGAGAUUUCCGAAUGGGGGAACCCACUAUCUUUAGUCGGAUAGUAUCCUUACGUGAAUACAUAGCGUAAGGAAGGCAGACCCAGGGAACUGAAACAUCUAAGUACCUGGAGGAAGAGAAAGAAAAAUCGAUUUCCUGAGUAGCGGCGAGCGAAACGGAAAGAGCCCAAACCAAGAAGCUUGCUUCUUGGGGUUGUAGGACACUCUAUACGGAGUUACAAAAGAAAGUUAUAAAUGAAGCGGUCUGGAAAGGCCCGCCAAAGACGGUAACAGCCCGGUAGUUGAAAUGGCUUUCCCUCCAGAGUGGAUCCUGAGUACGGCGGAACACGUGAAAUUCCGUCGGAAUCCGGGAGGACCAUCUCCCAAGGCUAAAUACUCCCUAGUGACCGAUAGUGAACCAGUACCGUGAGGGAAAGGUGAAAAGCACCCCGGAAGGGGAGUGAAACAGUUCCUGAAACCGUGUGCCUACAAGUAGUUAGAGCCCGUUAAUGGGUGAUAGCGUGCCUUUUGUAGAAUGAACCGGCGAGUUACGAUUUGUUGCAAGGUUAAGCGGAAAAAGCGGAGCCGUAGCGAAAGCGAGUCUGAAUAGGGCGCAUAAGUAACAGGUCGUAGACCCGAAACCAGGUGAUCUACCCAUGUCCAGGAUGAAGGUAAGGUA